rnacentral:tRNA from 1 species
ACCUGUGUAGCUCAGUCAGAGCAUCAGAUGUUUAAUCUGAGGGUCCAGGGUUCAAUUCCCUGUCCAGAUG